GAUCCUGGCUCAGGACGAACGCUGGCGGCGCGCCUAACACAUGCAAGUCGAACGAGCGAGAGAGAGCUUGCUUUCUCGGGCGAGUGGCGAACGGGUGAGUAACGCGUGAGGAACCUGCCUCAAAGGGGGGGGACAACAGUUGGAAACGACUGCUAAUACCGCAUAAGCCCACGGUGCCGCAUGGCACAGAGGGAAAAGGAGCAAUCCGCUUUGAGAUGGCCUCGCGUCCGAUUAG
rnacentral:rRNA from 1 species